UUGUCCAGGCAAAUCCGGAUAAUCAAGGCUGAGGUGUGAUGACGAGGCACUACGGUGCUGAAGUAACAAAUGCCCUGCUUCCAGGAAAAGCCUCUAAGCAUCAGGUAACAUCAAAUCGUACCCCAAACCGACACAGGUGGUCAGGUAGAGAAUACCAAGGCGCUUGAGAGAACUCGGGUGAAGGAACUAGGCAAAAUGGUGCCGUAACUUCGGGAGAAGGCACGCUGGUGUGUAGGUGA
rnacentral:rRNA from 1 species